rnacentral:misc_RNA from 1 species
AAACAAAUCUCCGGAUUCUGUCCGGUGGUCGAUGGGUGUUAAUCCGGGUAGCCCUUUGGGGGAUUAAACCGGUCACCUGAAAUAAUGGGCUCCGCCCCGUUUAGCGGACUCGUGUAGUAACGCUUUCUCGUAAACGACUUCACGAAAGGCGACGGAAGUGAAGAAGCCACUUUUUGGUUUUAUCGCAAAACCAAAUGCGUCUUUACGGCGCACUUUUUUA